AGGACGAACGCUGGCGGCGUGCUUAACACAUGCAAGUCGAGCGGAAAGGCCCUUCGGGGUACUCGAGCGGCGAACGGGUGAGUAACACGUGAGUAACCUGCCCCUAGCUCUGGGAUAGCUCCGGGAAACCGGGAUUAAUACCAGAUACGACCACUUUAGACAUCUGUCGUGGUGGAAAGGAUUCCGGCUAGGGAUGGGCUCGCGGCCUAUCAGCUUGUUGGUGGGGUAACGGCCUACCAAGGCGACGACGGGUAGCCGGCCUGAGAGGGCGACCGGCCACACUGGGACUGAGACACGGCCCAGACUCCUACGGGAGGCAGCAGUGGGAAUAUUGCGCAAUGGGCGAAAGCCUGACGCAGCGACGCCGCGUGGGGGAUGAAGGCCUUCGGGUUGUAAACCCCUUUCAGCAGGGACGAAGCGGAAAGUGACGGUACCUGCAGAAGAAGCGCCGGCUAACUACGUGCCAGCAGCCGC
rnacentral:rRNA from 1 species